rnacentral:rRNA from 1 species
GACGAACGCUGGCGGCGUGCCUAAUACAUGCAAGUAGAACGCUGAAGAGAGGAGCUUGCUCUUCUUGGAUGAGUUGCGAACGGGUGAGUAACGCGUAGGUAACCUGCCUUGUAGCGGGGGAUAGCUAUUGGAAACGAUAGCUAAUACCGCAUAACAAUGGAUGACACAUGUCAUUUAUUUGAAAGGGGCAAUUGCUCCACUACAAGAUGGACCUGCGUUGUAUUAGCUAGUAGGUGAGGUAACGGCUCACCUAGGCGACGAUACAUAGCCGACCUGAGAGGGUGAUCGGCCACACUGGGACUGAGACACGGCCCAGACUCCUACGGGAGGCAGCAGUAGGGAAUCUUCGGCAAUGGGGGCAACCCUGACCGAGCAACGCCGCGUGAGUGAAGAAGGUUUUCGGAUCGUAAAGCUCUGUUGUAAGUCAAGAACGAGUGUGAGAGUGGAAAGUUCACACUGUGACGGUAGCUGACCAGAAAGGGACGGCUAACUACGUG